UACGUAGGGUGCGAGCGUUGUCCGGAAUUAUUGGGCGUAAAGAGCUUGUAGGCGGUUUGUCGCGUCUGCCGUGAAAUUUCGAGGCUCAACCCUCGAACUUGCGGUGGGUACGGGCAGACUAGAGUGUGGUAGGGGAGACUGGAAUUCCUGGUGUAGCGGUGAAAUGCGCAGAUAUCAGGAGGAACACCGAUGGCGAAGGCAGGUCUCUGGGCCACUACUGACGCUGAGAA
rnacentral:rRNA from 1 species